UCCCGAUGUGACCACAUGUCCUGCUC
rnacentral:piRNA from 1 species